GACGAACGCUGGCGGCGUGCUUAACACAUGCAAGUCGAACGAAGUGGCGAACGGGUGAGUAAUACGUGGGUAACCUGCCCUCCUUUUUGGGAUAAGCCUUGGAAACGGGGUCUAAUACCGAAUAAAGGGGGAUGGGCUCGCGGCCUAUCAGCUUGUUGGUGGGGUGAUGGCCUACCAAGGCGGUGACGGGUAGCCGGCCUGAGAGGGUGACCGCCCACAUUGGGACUGAGGUACGGCCCAGACUCCUCCGGGAGGCAGCAGUGGGGGAUAUUGCACAAUGGGCGAAACCCUGAUCCAGCCAUCCCGCGUGUAUGAUGAAGGCCUUCGGGUUGUAAAGUACUUUUGGCAGAGAGGCGGUAUCUGCAGAAUAAGCACCGGCUAACUACGUGCCAGCAGCCGCGGUAAUUC
rnacentral:rRNA from 1 species